rnacentral:rRNA from 1 species
GAUGAACGCUAGCGGCAGGCCUAAUACAUGCAAGUCGAACGGGAUCCAGAUCAAAGCUUGCUUUGGUCUGGUGAGAGUGGCGCACGGGUGCGUAACGCGUGAGCAACCUACCCUUGUCAGGGGGAUAGCCCGGCGAAAGUCGGAUUAAUACCGCAUGACAUCAUUGAGAGGCAUCUUUCGAUGAUCAAAGAUUUAUCGGACAAGGAUGGGCUCGCGUGACAUUAGCUAGUUGGUAAGGUAACGGCUUACCAAGGCUGCGAUGUCUAGGGGCUCUGAGAGGGGAAUCCCCCACACUGGUACUGAGACACGGACCAGACUCCUACGGGAGGCAGCAGUAAGGAAUAUUGGUCAAUGGACGGAAGUCUGAACCAGCCAUGCCGCGUGCAGGAGGACGGCCCUAUGGGUUGUAAACUGCUUUUAUACGGGAACAAACGUCGGUACGUGUACCGGUCUGAGUGUACCGUAAGAAUAAGGAUCGGCUAACUCCGU